GGGACAUGGUCAGUGGGCAUGGUGGGGGUGGGUUGGGCUUGGGCUUGGGGAUCUUAGAGGUCUUUUCCAAUCUGUAUGAUUCUAUGAGUCU
rnacentral:miRNA from 12 species